UACGUAGGUGACCAGCGUUGUCCGGAUUUACUGGGCGUAAAGAGCGCGCAGGCGGUCGUUCAAGUCGCGUGUGAAAGCCCCCGGCUCAACUGGGGAGGGUCACUCGAUACUGAUCGACUUGAAGGCAGGAGAGGGAAGCGGAAUUCCCCGGUGUAGUGGUGAAAUGCGUAGAUAUCGGGAGGAACACCAGUGGCGAAGGCGGCUUCCUGGCCUGUUCUUGACGCUGAGG
rnacentral:rRNA from 1 species